rnacentral:rRNA from 1 species
UACGAAGGGGGGCUAGCGUUGCUCGGAAUCACUGGGCGUAAAGGGUGCGUAGGCGGGUCUUUUAAGUCAGGGGUGAAAUCCUGGAGCUCAACUCCAGAACUGCCUUUGAUACUGAAGAUCUUGAGUUCGGGAGAGGUGAGUGGAACUGGCGAGUGUAGAGGUGAAAUUCGUAGAUAUUCGCAAGAACACCAGUGGCGAAGGCGGCUCACUGGCCCGAUACUGACGCUGAGGCACGAAAGCGUGGGGAG